rnacentral:rRNA from 1 species
GAUGAACGCUGGCGGCGUGCCUAAUACAUGCAAGUAGAACGCUGAAGGAGGAGCUUGCUCUUCUGGAUGAGUUGCGAACGGGUGAGUAACGCGUAGGUAACCUGCCUGGUAGCGGGGGAUAACUAUUGGAAACGAUAGCUAAUACCGCAUGACAACAGUUAUUGCAUGAUAACUGUUUAAAAGUGGCAACUGCUCCACUACCAGAUGGACCUGCGUUGUAUUAGCUAGUAGUUGAGGUAACGGCUCACCAAGGCGACGAUACAUAGCCGACCUGUGAGGGUGGUCAGCCACACUGGGAGGGAGACAGGGCCCAGACUCCUAGGGGAGGCAGCAGGAGGGAAUCGUGGGCAAGGGGCGGAAGUCUGACCGAGAAACGCCGAGUGAGGGAAGAAGGUUUCCGGGUCGUAAAGCACUGUUGUAAGAGAAGAACGCGUGUGAGAGUGGAAAGUUCACACUGUGACGGUAUCUGACAAGAAAGGAACGGCUAACUACGUG